rnacentral:rRNA from 1 species
AGAGUUUGAUCCUGGCUCAGGACGAACGCUGGCGGCGUGCUUAACACAUGCAAGUCGAACGGAAAGGCCCUUCGGGGUACUCGAGUGGCGAACGGGUGAGUAACACGUGGGUGAUCUGCCCUGCACUUUGGGAUAAGCCUGGGAAACUGGGUCUAAUACCGAAUAGGACCGCGCGCUUCAUGGUGUGUGGUGGAAAGCUUUUGCGGUGUGGGAUGGGCCCGCGGCCUAUCAGCUUGUUGGUGGGGUAAUGGCCUACCAAGGCGACGACGGGUAGCCGGCCUGAGAGGGUGACCGGCCACACUGGGACUGAGAUACGGCCCAGACUCCUACGGGAGGCAGCAGUGGGGAAUAUUGCACAAUGGGCGCAAGCCUGAUGCAGCGACGCCGCGUGAGGGAUGACGGCCUUCGGGUUGUAAACCUCUUUCACCAGGGACGAAGCGCAAGUGACGGUACCUGGAGAAGAAGCACCGGCCAACUACGUGCCAGCAGCCGCGGUAAUACGUAGGGUGCGAGCGUUGUCCGGAAUUACUGGGCGUAAAGAGCUCGUAGGUGGUUUGUCGCGUUGUUCGUGAAAACUCACAGCUUAACUGUGGGCGUGCGGGGGAUACGGGCAGACUAGAGUACUGCAGGGGAGACUGGAAUUCCUGGUGUAGCGGUGGAAUGCGCAGAUAUCAGGAGGAACACCGGUGGCGAAGGCGGGUCUCUGGGCAGUAACUGACGCUGAGGAGCGAAAGCGUGGGGAGCGAACAGGAUUAGAUACCCUGGUAGUCCAA